rnacentral:rRNA from 3 species
UGGCGGCCUUAGCGCGGUGGUCCCACCUGACCCCAUGCCGAACUCAGAAGUGAAACGCCGUAGCGCCGAUGGUAGUGUGGGGUCUCCCCAUGCGAGAGUAGGGAACU